ACCAAGGCGACGAUCGGUAGCCGGACUGAGAGGUUGAACGGCCACAUUGGGACUGGGACACGGCCCAGACUCCUACGGGAGGCAGCAGUGGGGAAUAUUGCACAAUGGGGGAAACCCUGAUGCAGCGACGCCGCGUGGAGGAAGAAGGUCUUCGGUUGUAAACUCCUGUUGUUGAGGAAGAUAAUGACGGUACUCAACAAGGAAGUGACGGCUAACUACGUGCCAGCAGCCGCGGUAAAACGUAGGUCACAAGCGUUGUCCGGAAUUACUGGGUGUAAAGGGAGCGCAGGCGGGAAGACAAGUUGGAAGUGAAAUCCAUGGGCUCAACCCAUGAACUGCUUUCAAAACUGUUUUUCUUGAGUAGUGCAGAGGUAGGUGGAAUUCCCGGUGUAGCGGUGGAAUGCGUAGAUAUCGGGAGGAACACCAGUGGCGAAGGCGGCCUACUGGGCACCAACUGACGCUGAGGCUCGAAAGUGUGGGUAGCAAACAGGAUUAGAUACCCUGGUAGUCCACACUGUAAACGAUGAUUACUAGGUGUUGGAGGAUUGACCCCUUCAGUGCCGCAGUUAACACAAUAAGUAAUCCACCUGGGGAGUACGACCGCAAGGUUGAAACUCAAAGGAAUUGACGGGGGCCCGCACAAGCAGUGGAGUAUGUGGUUUAAUUCGACGCAACGCGAAGAACCUUACCAAGUCUUGACAUCCUGCGACGGACAUAGAAAUAUGUUUUUCCUUCGGGACGCAGAGACAGGUGGUGCAUGGUUGUCGUCAGCUCGUGUCGUGAGAUGUUGGGUUAAGUCCCGCAACGAGCGCAACCCUUAUGGUCAGUUACUACGCAAGAGGACUCUGGCCAGACUGCCGUUGACAAAACGGAGGAAGGUGGGGAUGACGUCAAAUCAUCAUGCCCUUUAUGACUUGGGCUACACACGUACUACAAUGGCGUUAAACAAAGAGAAGCAAGACCGCGAGGUGGAGCAAAACUCAGAAACAACGUCCCAGUUCGGACUGCAGGCUGCAACUCGCCUGCACGAAGUCGGAAUUGCUAGUAAUCGCAGAUCAGCAUGCUGCGGUGAAUACGUUCCCGGGCCUUGUACACACCGCCCGUCACACCAUGAGAGCCGGGGGGACCCGAAGUCGGUAGUCUAACCGCAAGGAGGACGCCGCCGAAGGUAAAACUGGUGAUUGGGGUGAAGUCGUAACAAGGUAGCCGUAGGAGAACCUGCGGCUG
rnacentral:rRNA from 1 species